AUUGAACGCUAGCGGCAUGCCUUACACAUGCAAGUCGAACGGCAGCACGGGAGCAAUCCUGGUGGCGAGUGGCGAACGGGUGAGUAAUGUAUCGGAACGUGCCCAGUCGUGGGGGAUAACGUAGCGAAAGCUACGCUAAUACCGCAUACGAUCUAUGGAUGAAAGCGGGGGACCGUAAGGCCUCGCGCGAUUGGAGCGGCCGAUAUCAGAUUAGGUAGUUGGUGGGGUAAAGGCCUACCAAGCCGACGACCUGUAGCUGGUCUGAGAGGACGACCAGCCACACUGGGACUGAGACACGGCCCAGACUCCUACGGGAGGCAGCAGUGGGGAAUUUUGGACAAUGGGCGCAAGCCUGAUCCAGCAAUGCCGCGUGCAGGAUGAAGGCCUUCGGGUUGUAAACUGCUUUUGUACGGAGCGAAAAGGCUCUCUCUAAUACAGGGGGCUCAUGACGGUACCGUAAGAAUAAGCACCGGCUAACUACGUGCCAGCAGCCGCCGUAAAAC
rnacentral:rRNA from 1 species